rnacentral:lncRNA from 7 species
CCCCCUCAUUUUGGCAUUUUUUCUCUCGCUAAUGACUGUAGCUUAACAGAGUUAACAGCAUUAAUGGGCAAAUCUCCCUCCAUCCAAACGCGGAACAGACUCUUUUGUAGCGCUCUGUCAGGCGGUUUCAGGAACAAAAUAAAAAGGUGUCGUAUGUGGUUUCAUGGCAGCAGGGAGGUGACAGCACACAUGGGCUGAGAAGCAGAAAUCCCCUUCAACAGCAGAGACUAUCUCUGCCAGCAGGUAGAGAAGAGGUUGUUUGUCUGAAGAAAGAAGGGUGUGGUGGAAAUACUUCAUGCCAGUCAAGUCAACCAAAAUACUACCUGAGUUACAAAGCAUGCUGGAAAACAAAAUUAAACAGAAGAUCUGGGCCCCACCUGUGCUCUCCCAGGAGCGACUGAGAGAAAAGGAGUUCUGGGAGCUGGGAACACACAGCUCCCUGCAGGGCUUGCUAGGAGGACUGACCAGACCUCAGUGUGAUCACAUCAGUGGUCCUCACCUGAAAGUGGAAGGCUUGGAUUGCUCAAUGCUGCCAUAGGAAGGCACAGACUUUGAAAGCAGCAACUCCUUCCUCUUACAAAUUUGCAGUGUAUUCUCCCUUUUUCCACUCUGUACCACUGAGCAUGAUGAUGGUAGCUGGAGGAAACUUUUGUUUGUUUCUCUGUUUUGUUUUGUUUUUCCCUGACUUUAUUUUUGAGAUGUUAGUUACAUUAUUUGAGGGUGUGUAUGAGAUUCUGGAAGCACAAUUUACAUCUGCUGUGCUG